rnacentral:rRNA from 1 species
GUACACGCUGUGACUAGCAUAUCAAUAAGCGGAGGAAAAGAAACUAACAAGGAUUCCCUCAGUAACGGCGAGUGAAGCGGGAAGAGCUCAAAUUUGAAAUCUUGAAAGGUCACCUUUCACGAAUUGUAGUUUAAAGAAGUGUUUUCUGCUACGAUCGUAAUAUAAGUUCUUUGGAAUAGGACAUCACAGAGGGUGAGAAUCCCGUCUAUGAUUGCGAUUUGUAGCUUUGUGAUACACUUUCAAAGAGUCGGGUUGUUUGGGAAUGCAGCCCAAAACGGGAGGUAAAUUUCUUCUAAGGCUAAAUAUUGGCGAGAGACCGAUAGCGAACAAGUACCGUGAGGGAAAGAUGAAAAGAACUUUGAAAAGAGAGUUAAACAGUACGUGAAAUUGUCAAAAGGGAAGCGUUUGACACCAGUGUUGUUUUCUCGAAAAUCAAUUAAAAAUGGCUCGAUUUUGUAUUGCUUGAGACCUUAAAAGCUCACUGUACAUUUUUCGUGUCUUUUUUAAUGCACUUUUCGUUUAACAAGUCAACAUCAGUUUCUUUUGUUGUAAAAGGGUCAUUGGAAGGUGGCUUUCUUUUCGGAGAAAGUGUUUAUAGCCUUUGGCCUCUGCAAUCGAAGAGACUGAGGUCUGCAGCGUAGACUCUUCGGGGUUAGAUACAUUUGUGCUAAGUUAUAGCUUUUUAUAGACAACUUGUUGACUAUAAUUAGUCUUGUAGCUUACUCGCUUAUGCUAUUUUACCUACGCUUAGGAUGUUGAGUAGCGACAUACGCAC